rfam:Fukomys damarensis contig155556, whole genome shotgun sequence.
GCCGGGCAUGGUGGCGCAUGCCUGUAAUCCCAGCACUUGGGAGGCUGAGGCAGGAGGAUCGCUGUGAGUUGGAGACCAGCCUGAGCUGCAUAGUGAGUUCCAGGUCAGUCUCAACUACAUAGUGAGACCCUGUCUCAA